AGUCCACGCCCUAAACGAUGUCAACUAGUUGUCGGGAAUUAAAUUUCUUGGUAACGCAGCUAACGCGUGAAGUUGACCGCCUGGGGAGUACGUCCGCAAGGUUAAAACUCAAAGGAAUUGACGGGGACCCGCACAAGCGGUGGAUGAUGUGGUUUAAUUCGAUGCAACGCGAGAACCCUUACCUACCCUUGACAUGCCAGAAAACCCUGCAGAGAUGUGGGGGUGCUCGAAAGAGAAUCUGGGCACAGCUGCUGCAUGGCUGUCGUCAGCUCGUGUCGUGAGAUGUUGGUUUAAGUCCCGCAACGAGCGCAACCCUUGUCCUUAGUUGCUACGAAAGGGACACUCUAAGGAGACUGCCGGUGACAAACCGGAGGAAGUUGGGGAUGACGUCAAGUCUUCAUGGCCCUUAUGGGUAGGGCUACACACGUCAUACAAUGGUCGGGACAGAGGGCUCGCCAACCCGCGAGGGGGAGCUAAUCCCACAAACCCGAUCGUAGUCC
rnacentral:rRNA from 1 species